rnacentral:rRNA from 1 species
UACGUAGGGGGCAAGCGUUGUCCGGAAUCAUUGGGCGUAAAGAGCGUGUAGGCGGCCAGAUAAGUCCGCUGUGAAAUCUCGAGGCUCAACUUCGAGCUGUCGGUGGAAACUGUCUGGCUAGAGUCCGGAAGAGGAGAGUGGAAUUCCUGGUGUAGCGGUGAAAUGCGCAGAUAUCAGGAAGAACACCCGUGGCGAAAGCGGCUCUCUGGGACGGUACUGACGCUGAGACGCGAAAGCGUGGGGAGCGAACAGG